AGCUUGCGUCCCUGUAAUUCACAUAGGCAACUUUUUAUUCCGGAAAAUCAAACAGUUCGCACGGGAUCUUUAAAAACCUAAAUCCACGCGGACGAAGUCGCGGGCAUCCUCUAGUAUUUAAUAUUGAGGCCAUUUUGUGAAUUUUUUCCUCGGAUUCGGCUCAAGAGUCCACAAAAGCCCUUAAGCUGUAUUUGGCGUUUGUAAUUUCCGUAAAAAAAAAGGACAAAAAAUGUUUUAAAUUAAUUUUUUAAAUUAGUAAGAUGGGAAUUAUUAAAUACGAGAUCAGUUCAAAAGUAUACAAUAAUAUGAAAAUAUUUUAAGUAGAUCUCUACGGACUCAAUGUACACAAGCACCUCGAUUUGUCUCCAAAGUUAACCAAUAACAGGUUAGGAGUUUGACAGUUAUAGAUCGUGUCAACGUAUUGUUCCAAUGGCGUUAUGUUGGCUCCCCUGUCCGUCCAAGUCAUUGGCACCAUAUUAUUUGCAUAGGAAGACACAGAUUUUGUUUAUUUUCAUUUGAUUUUUAUGAAUGAAUGAAAUGAAAAUCAAAUGAAAAUAAACAAAAUCUACGUCUUCUCAUGCCAAUAUGGUGCCAAUGACCACCCAAUGACUUAGACAGACAGGGGAGCCAACAUAACGCCUUAGGAACUAAUCAUUGAAACGAUCUAUAAGUACUUUACUUGUUGACAAGCUUUGAACCGGUUUCGAAUACGGUUAAUAUCCGGUGCCCUGCUUGUUGGACACUACGUACUGCGUACAGUACCCGGUAGGAAAUAUUGUACAUCGAUCUUUGGAAAGAGAUAGUGGUAGGUAUCGUAAAGCGUUGUCUCCGUCGUUGAGACUGACAAAACGUCACAUAGGUAUGAGUGACAGAGACGAACCCUACGAAGCCGAAAUCUCUUUCUAAAAAGGUCGAUGCAGAAUAUUUCCU